AUUAUGUUAGUGUAAAAUGUUAAAGCACAUGAACUUUUCGUGUUCAGGGAAGCGGUAAAUCGCUAUGUAAUA
rnacentral:tRNA from 1 species